rnacentral:rRNA from 1 species
UACGGGGGGUGCGAGCGUUGUCCGGAAUCACUGGGCGUAAAGGGCGCGUAGGUGGCUCGUGAAGCGUGCGGUGAAAGUCCGAGGCUCAACCUCGGAUCGGCCGUGCGGACUCGCGGGCUCGAGCGUUGUAGAGGCGGGUGGAAUUCCGGGUGUAGCGGUGGAAUGCGUAGAGAUCCGGAAGAACACCGGUGGCGAAGGCGGCCCGCUGGGCAACUGCUGACACUGAGGCGCGACAGCGUGGGGAGCAAACAGG